UCUACAAAACGGCAUCAUCUCUGGAGCGCACUACAAACACGAUACUUUCUUUCGGGAGUAGGCUAAAGCGCACCUCUACUUUUCCACCUGUGCAGAGAGGAGAGAACCAACCCUGGGACACGCGCCACCUAUCUUCACGGGAGGGGAUAAUUGAGCAGGACCAAACGUGAGCAUCUUCUGGUAAACGUGAUAUGCUUUUUUUUUCUCUCCCCGGCUUUUUCAUCGGAGUGAAAUGUACACUGUGCCUGUCGGACUCAGACUACCAUGUAUAGCAGCCGAAGAAUCAAGAGUGUGUGUGUUUUUUUUUCCCCCCCGAAGAAGAAAAGUUAAACAGCUCUUCUAUUCAACCCUCAAUGACCACAACUGAAAUGGAGGAAAAUGAAUGAAAUUAUAGUGUUGGCAAGUUUUACUGAACCUCAUACAAAGACUACCGAGGAUGAAAGGGGUGCGGUACAGCAUUUGUUAAGGAAGUGAGCAUCUGAGUAAUCAACUGUAUGGAUAAUUAAAUCAUCAAUCAAGAGGCUCGACUGUGAUGCCUUUGUCCGAAGCCAAUCAGAUUCCGGAGAGCCCGGAUAAACAGUUUGAAAGGAAAAGGUGCUCAACAUCUGGCGUUAAAAAACAUCCACUCCCUAGUUACCUGUCUCCUGUUACCCGUUCUCUGCUCAGCCGUCCCAGUGACCGAACCCCUUCUGUCCCUGACCCCGAGCCUGCCUGUCCCCCUGUGCUUCUGCCUUGUGGACCACCUCGUUACGACCUUUGCCCGCCACCCGACCUCGAACCAGCCAAUUCCUCUGUACCUCUAGGAUUCCGAUUCAUCGUCCGACCUCUGCCUGCCUGCCGACCAGGAGUCUGCCUAUUCCUACACUGAACAUCUGUGCACGACACCUCCUCUCUGUGUCCGCGCUUGGUUCCACACCCUGGCCCUGUCAAUUCCAUGAUUAGAAAGAACAAACAUUUAUU